UUACGACCACACCACGUUGAAACAUCGGUUGCCGUACGAUUACCGAAGUUAAGCAACGUCGAACCAAGUCAGUACCUAGAUGGGUGACUGCUUGGGAAUAUCAGGCGCUAUA